UACGUAGGUGGCAAGCGUUGUCCGGAUUUACUGGGCGUAAAGAGCGCGCAGGCGGUCGUUCAAGUCGAGUGUGAAAGCCCCCGGCUCAACUGGGGAGGGUCACUCGAUACUGAUCGACUCGAAGGCAGGAGAGGGAAGUGGAAUUCCCGGUGUAGUGGUGAAAUGCGUAGAUAUCGGGAGGAACAUCAGUGGCGAAGGCGGCCCUCUGGUCCAGUACUGACACUCAAGUGCGAAAGCGUGGGGAGCAAACAGG
rnacentral:rRNA from 1 species